rnacentral:rRNA from 1 species
GAUGAACGCUAGCUACAGGCUUAACACAUGCAAGUCGAGGGACCGGCGCACGGGUGAGUAACACGUAUCCAACCUGCCCUUUACUCGGGGACAGCCUUUCGAAAGAAAGAUUAAUACCCGAUGUAAAGGACGGGGAUGCGUUUCAUUAGGUUGUUGGUAAGGUAACGGCUCACCAAGCCUUCGAUGGAUAGGGGUUCUGAGAGGAAGGUCCACCAGAUUGGAGCUGAGACCCAGUCCAAACUCCUACGGGAGGCAGCGGUGAGGAAUAUUGGUCGAUGGGCGUUAGCCUGAACCAGUCACGUAGCGUGAAGGAUGAAGGCUUUUGAGUCGUAAACUACUUUUAUAUAAGAAUAUGUAUUAUAUGAAUAAGGAUCGGCUAACUCCGUGCCAGCAGCCGCGGUAAUUC